rnacentral:tRNA from 1 species
GCUCGUCUAGCUCAGUCGGUAGAGCGCAUGACUCUUAACCUUGUGGUCUUGGGUUUAAAUCCCAGUGUGGGUG